rnacentral:lncRNA from 13 species
CCUACGUUCACCCACAUUUAUUGCUUACAUACAAUAUUUAGCUGUCGCGCAAUGCAUACUCGGUGUUCGUACGUUUGUUGGUGUGUUCAAACGCGAGACACAUACGGCCAAAAAGUCUGGUCGACUGAACCGAACGGUCGGGCAAGGGACGAUCGUGUAUGUUUUGAUAUUGCAAGUAUCGCGAAUGUUCUGUCCGUAAUUUCAACUUGCGUAUUCAAAUUGCGUCAUAAAUGCGAAGUAGUAGCCGCCGUAAAAAGGAAGCGUGAAUUAUUUAUUGUCCGAAAAACGCGGGAAAUAUGAGCGAGGUUAGGAGCGUGAAGUCGGGAGCAACAGGUAUAUCCUCGCCGCUUCAAUUUCGAGGCGUGAAGUUGUCCACGCGAUUUACACAUAUACUGUGAAUUCUCUUCGCCACCUUUGUGCUCCGUAAUGGUCGUUCACUUUAUUUACGUGAUGUUGAGGAUGUCGAACGUGGCGUAAUUUCGUGUGUUUACAUCCUAUUUCCCGGCUGUAGCUUAAUCAAGUAUGCAUCGCGUGCGAUUAACGUCGAGAAUAUCGUGUAAAGUGCCGCAUAAUUGUUAUAAUCUGGUGAUUAACGCGCACUUUAUUGUAACGAGCAUACUUUGCAGAAAAUAACGACGUGGGAUGUGUUGGGAAGAUCUUAUGAAACUGGACAAACCUGAGAGGAGGAGGAGGCCUAGGAGAGGCAUCAGGCAUCGGUGGAGCAACUUUGCGAAUCAUCGUAAUCAACGUUGCAGAUAACUCCACUGUUGCGCUUUCAGCGUGUCACUACUCAGUGGGUGAGUGAGAAAGCAAUUUUUCAUGUAAUUAAAGUGAAAUUGAAUCGACAAAAAUACA